rnacentral:sRNA from 1 species
CUCAGCCUCUCCGUAUGCAGGAGCUGGUUUCCCUCCCACCUUUGCCAUUCCUCAAGCUGCAGGCCUUUCCGUUCCCAACGUCCAUGGAGCCCUGGCCCCCCUGGCCAUCCCCUCGGCGGCGGCAGCAGCUGCAGCAGCAGGCCGGAUCGCCAUCCCGGGCCUGGCGGGGGCGGGAAAUUCUGUAUUGCUGGUCAGCAACCUCAACCCAGAGGUACGUGGGCUUUUCCUCCGCGCCGUUCCUCCAGGAAGAGCGAGCAGGGGAUGUUGUGCUCGGUCUUGGGUCCCGGAGCAGCGCCGCCCCUCGCUGUGUCUGCGCCUCUGCCCCGGCAGCCCCUCUGCCGCAGCGCUGAGACCUCUUCUUCCAAGAUGGCUUGAGUUUUUCUGUUUUCCUGAAUUCGCAUCUUGGUUUGCGUUUUCACUUCCAUGAUAUGCACAAUGAAUUAUUUUUUUGUUACCCAAAGGCAAUCUAAAAGUUACUGGAGCUGAGCAGGGCGUGCAGUUCAGAGCCCCAGCAGGCCGCCCUGCCGGUCAGCGGGACACAUAGGGUUAGCGCGGCAGGGUGUGGGCAGCCCCUGUGGCACGAGAGCCUGUUACUUAACUGGUGGAUCUGUUAUUUCUCAGAAUGGUUAAGUUCCCCUCGGGGAGAGCUUGGGUGAAAUAAGAGGCUCAAAAUAUGUA